GAUGAACGCUGGCGGCGUGCCUAAUACAUGCAAGUCGAGCGAACGGACGAGAAGCUUGCUUCUCUGAUGUUAGCGGCGGACGGGUGAGUAACACGUGGAUAACCUACCUAUAAGACUGGGAUAACUUCGGGAAACCGGAGCUAAUACCGGAUAAUAUUUUGAACCGCAUGGUUCAAAAGUAAAAGACGGUCUUGCUGUCACUUAUAGAUGGAUCCGCGCUGCAUUAGCUAGUUGGUAAGGUAACGGCUUACCAAGGCAACGAUGCAUAGCCGACCUGAGAGGGUGAUCGGCCACACUGGAACGGAGACACGGUACAGACUCCUACGGGAGGCAGCAGCAGGGAAUCUUCCGCAAUGGGCGAAAGCCUGACGGAGCAACGCCGCGUGAGGGAUGAAGGUCUUCGGAGCGUAGAACUCUGUUAUUAGGGAAGAACAUAUGUGUAAGUAACUGUGCACAUCAUGACGGUACCUAAUCAGAAAGCCACGGCUAACUACGUG
rnacentral:rRNA from 1 species